GAUGAACGCUGGCGGCGUGCCUAAUACAUGCAAGUCGAGCGAACAGACGAGGAGCUUGCUCCUCUGACGUUAGCGGCGGACGGGUGAGUAACACGGGGAUAACCUACCUAUAAGACUGGGAUAACUUCGGGAAACCGGAGCUAAUACCGGAUAAUAUAUUGAACCGCAUGGUUCAAUAGUGAAAGACGGUUUUGCUGUCACUUAUAGAUGGAUCCGCGCCGCAUUAGCUAGUUGGUAAGGUAACGGCUUACCAAGGCAACGAUGCGUAGCCGACCUGAGAGGGUGAUCGGCCACACUGGAACUGAGACACGGUCCAGACUCCUACGGGAGGCAGCAGUAGGGAAUCUUCCGCAAAGGGCGAAAGCCUGACGGAGCAACGCCGCGUGAGUGAUGAAGGUCUUCGGAUCGUAAAACUCUGUUAUUAGGGAAGAACAAAUGUGUAAGUAACUAUGCACGUCUUGACGGUACCUAAUCAGAAAGCCACGGCUAACUACGUG
rnacentral:rRNA from 1 species